rnacentral:lncRNA from 1 species
GCGCCACCGGACUCCCGCCCCUCCCAGCGUCAGUUAAGACGCCGCGAGGGGCCCAGAGUCCCUCCCCUCGCUGGGCCCCGGUCCCGCCGGCGUCUAUAACGCCGUCGCAGCGGCCUUUAACCCCGCCUCUCACUCGAGCCCUGCCCGCGUCCAAGUCCCGCCCUCAAGGCGGCCUCAGCUACGACCGCCGCGCGCCUCCCUGGAGGCGCCCGCUCCUGCCCGGAGCCCUGCCCGUCUUGGGCCCGCCCUUCCGGGCCCUGCCGCGUUGAGUGGCGGAGUCGGGAUCCAGGUGGCCCGCCGGCCGGCUCAGUCCACCUCCCCGCUCCCGGCCUCGCGCCCCACCCCUUGGAUGAGAAAACUGAAACUGAGAGGGGACGUGACUGAUCCAACGCCCAACCCAGAGCUGGAUCACAAGGAAGACUGGAAGCUCCACUCCCCCAUGGAGCUUCCCUGUUACCAGAGGACACAAACACACAUCUGCAUGUUGAUCUGAGAGCCCUGUGUGGAGAGGAACUAGGCCCCCAGCCAACAACCAGCAGUGACUCACUGUGAGAGAGUGAAUCAUCUUGGAAGUGGAUCCUAAGCCCCAAUAGAGACUUCAGAUGAAACUGCAACCCUGGCUGACAUCUGACUGCAGUGGCAUAAGAAACCCUUAUGUCAGAAUCACCCUGCAAAGCCCAAAUUCUUGACCCACCAAGUGAAAGAGAAUAAAUGACGAUUGUUGUGUUUGAACUCCCAUGUUUUUGGGUAAUCAGUUCCACGGCAAUAAAUAACUAAUGUACUAGACAUCUGAGCAGAGGCCUUGCUGCACUGCGGAAGCUAGAUGAUAGCUGGGGAAGUGUUCCAGAUGAAACAGGGCAGGCAGGAGCCCCGAGGCAGAAAUGAACUUGCUGUGCCUGAGAGACAACCAUUGUGAUAUUGUGGCUGGAGUGGAGUAAGGGGAACAGUAACAGGGAGUGACUGGGCGUAUUAGGCAGGGUCAUGCAGGCCAGGUGGCUGGGAGCCCAUGGUUUGGGGGCUGUAAGCUGGGGGAAGGGCAUGGUGAUUUGCUCUGAUUUACAUAUUUUAACAACCCUCUAUAUACACAAAAUAACUAAAAGCAAGGUCUCAAAAGAGGUUAUCUGUACACUGAUUCACAGUAGCCAAGAGGUGGAUACAACCCAAGUGUCCAUCAAGAGAUGAAUGGAUAGGCUGGGUGAAGUGGCUCAUGUCUGUAAUCCCAGCACUUUGGGAGGCCGAGGUGAGUGGAUCGC